AUCAACGCUGGCGGCGUGCUUAACACAUGCAAGUCGAACGAGAAAGUCCCCGUCAAGGGGAUGAGUAAAGCGGCGAACGGGUGGAGUAACACCGUAGCUAACCUGCCUUCGAGCGGGGGGGAUAACCUGGGGGAGAAACCCGGGCUAAUACCGCAUAACGCCCCGGGAGCACAUGCUUCUGGGGUCAAAGGCCCGCAAGGGUCGCUCGUGGAGGGGGCUGCGGCCGAUUAGCUAGUUGGUGAGGUAAUGGCCCACCAAGGCAAGUGAUCGGUAGCCGGGCCUGAGAGGGCGCACGGUCACACUGGCACUUGAAACACGGGCGCCAGGACUCCUACGGGAGGGCAGCAGUGGGGAAUUUUGCGCAAUGCCCGAAAGGGUGAUGAUGCAGCAACGCCGCGUGAGGGAUGAAGGCCUUCGGGUCGUAAACCUCUUUCGACCGGGAAAAACGGGCUGGUGAAUAGCCAGUUCUGACUGGUACCCGGUGGAAGAAGCCCCGGCUAACUACGUGCCAGCAGCCCGCGGGUAAUACGUAGGGGGCGAGCGUUGUUCGGAAUUAUUGGGCGUAAAGGGCGUGUAGGCGGUGCGGUAAGUCGGGCGUUAAAUCUCCAGGCUUUAACUUGGAGGGGCCGUCCGAAACUGCCGUGCUAGGGUGCGGGAGAGGGCAGUGGAAUUCCCGGUGUGUAGCGGGUGAAAUGCGUAGAUAUCGGGAGGAACAUCUGUGGCGAAGGCGGCAUGCCUGGACCGCAACCGACGCUGAGGCGCGAAAGCUAGGGGGAGCAAACCGGAUUAGAUACACCUGGUAGUCCUAGCCCUAAACGAUGAACACUGGGUGUGUCCGCUCACGCGGAUGUGCCGGAGCUAACGCGUUAAGUGUUCCGCCUGGGGAGUACGGUCGCAAGGCUGAAACUCAAAGGAAUUGACGGGGGGCCCGCACAAGCGGUGGAGCAUGUGGUUCAAUUCGACGCGACGCGAAGAACCUUACCUGGACUCGAAAUGUAGUUGACGCCCCGAGAGAUCGGGGUUUCCCGCAAGGGACGGCUGCAUAGGUGCUGCAUGGCUGUCGUCAGCUCGUGUCGUGAGAUGUUGGGUUAAGUCCCGCAACGAGCGCAACCCUCACCCUUAGUUGCUCGCUCGCAAGAGAAGCACCCUAAGGGAACUGCCUCGGAUAACGGGGAGGAAGGUGGGGAUGACGUCAAGUCCUCACGGCCUUUAUGCCCAGGGCUACACACGUGCUACGAUGGCCGGUACAAAGCGUCGCCAACCCGCAAGGGGGAGCCAAUCGCAAAAAACCGGUCUCAGUUCGGAUUGCAGGCUGCAACUCGCCUGCAAUGAAGCUGGAAUCGCUAGUAAUCGCGUAUCAGAACGACGCGGUGAAUACGUUCCCGGGCCUUGUACACACACGCCCGUCACAUCACGAAAGUGGUUUGUACUAGAAGUCGUGAUUCGAACCGCAAGGACGAUAGCGCCCAAGGUAUGAACCAUGAUUGGGGUG
rnacentral:rRNA from 1 species